CACAAAGCGAUGCGAAAUGCAGAUCUGUCAAAUUUUUUGCAGGUCGCGAAUGGCGUGUGUGUGUGUUCGAUCUAAGCCAACAUGGUACGUGGUACCACACCGCCAGAAAGGACGAGUGCCGGCGCGUCCCGUCCGCGUCUCGACGCGGUUUACAGGAUGAGCGAUCUUUUUCUUUUUCUUUUUUUUUUCUUUAUCUUUUGUUUUGACAGAUUGCAAUCCCCGUUCGCGUCGAGCACGCGUAGAGCGCGUCGUUGAGAGACCGGAAACGCGGCUUGGACUGUCUUCUCCGAUGCGCUUCCGAAGUAGUGCUGAUCUCUAACCGAUCUCUAAAACCGGGAUCUCGAUAUUCCGUAAAGAACGGAUUCAAAUAGUCGGUGGCGCGCGACGCAAAUGUUGCCGCUUACUUUUCAACGAUCGGCACGAAUUGUUUGCAACACUCGCUUUCCGUUUGAAAAUAAUCCAGAAAGCCUCGUCGCAACGGAGACAGAUCGUCCAAUGCGUCGCCGAUCCCCAGUGGUACUCCCACACCCAAGUAUAUCUUACACAUGACAUACACCGUUUUGAUCAAGGUACUAUUCAAAGCUCAAACGAUGUUAGUCACUAAAUAAUGGUGAAAAGAAAUAACCGAAGAUUCGCACCCGCUUGUCGCUCCCGGGGCGUUUUAUCCCGAGGCUUUUUUUUUUUUCACGCCCGGGUUUUCCGCCGGGAUGCACACAGACGGGUUUUUUUGAUAAAAAACAUUUAUAAGAUGAUCAACCACUCUUCGUUCCGCGAAAGACGUCGAUUCGAUAUUUUUUGUUACUUGUCUCGUUUGCAAAAAAAAUUAGUCGUCAAUAUUACAACUAAUAUUCUUUUAAUUAUAUAUAAAUUUUUUUUCCACGAGAGUUUUUUGACUGACUGUACGAGUCUUUCUCGCAGAUUUCACGUCGUCUUUACGAACUUUAAAUAUGUGAACUUUCCUCUAAGACACAUUUUUUGAAGACGCGAAAUAAAGUAAAUUUUCAUAAUUUUAGUAAUUCUACAAAUACAUGUUACGUGAACUGAAACAUUUCUCUUUGUAAUAAUACAAGUAAUAUGUGUCAUACAACUUUCUGUUUAAAAAAAUUAUUGAGAAACAAAUAAAAAGAAAAAAAAAACAAAUUUGACAUAAAUCGAGAAUUAUUACGACUGAAGUUGAAUUGAAAUAAAUUUCAACUUCGUCGCAUUUAGCAGCAGAAAUUUUCACAUGUUACCUUUGUUCGAGAAGUUGAUCACCUUAGGCCACACUCUAUCGAGGAUCCAUUGAGAUCGCUAAUAAUAUAUUAUCCACAUGAAUGGAUCCACGAUAAGAGAGGUGAAACGAGUCAUGCUUGAGAAUACAUCAAAAUUACUUGUUUUUUUUUGUUUUUCAAAUUAAAACUAGAGCAACACACUUUGAAACACGCAGAAAUUUAUAUCGUCAUUCUCUCUUCAAAAGUUUCCUUCAAAACAUAAUAUUUUUCUUUGCUCAAUUUUUUUGCAUUUAGGAGAGAUUAUUCCCAAACAAUGACUCGUCAUUGAGCAACCUUUACGUCUAAAACUAAGAUUUAAUACGAAACCGAUCUCAAAGCAAAUAGCGUUACGCAAUCAAGGUAAAAGCCAAAUACAUUCGUCUAAGAGGUCGAGCCUCGGGGAUCCGAAGACGUGAAAAACCAUCAACAAACACUUGCUCCGAAUGAAAUUCUCAAGGCACAUUUGUUAACAUCUCGAAUCGUCGCAGCGCUGCUGUCCGAAAGAAAGUGGACGUUUCCCGACGGGUUAAAGAGCACAAAAAUGAAGAGAGAGCAGCGAAUCCCGAGGCUCGGCUUUCGAGAAACAGAAAAACGACAAAACAGAGCUAAAAUAAAGCCAGGAGGUAAGAAGGAUAACGGUUGCUCCAAAGAGUGAUGUUAAAAACAAGCCCAAGUAAUCGGAAGGACUCGGUGAUGCGAGAACGACACAAUCUGUCUCAACAUCAAAAAUGUAUCGGCAAUAAAUUAUCAAACAUCGUCAAUCGAUCAUUUAUCAUUAAAAAUAUUAUCAUUAUCAUCGUCGUCGCCAAUAAAAUGACGAGACGCUUCGUUUUUUUUCUUUUUUCAUUUCACAAAUAAAAAAAAGAACAAAACCGAGAAGAGUCUCUACAUCUUUCUCUUUUUUUUUUUUUUUUCUUUCUCGGGGCGGUGAAUGUGUAAUUUAUACAAUGAGUAUAGUGGUACGAUGAUUAUGUAUAUAUAUAUAUAGAUAUAUAUAUAAUAUUUAUAUAUAUAAAUAUAUAUGCAUAUAUAGCGAGAUACGGGCUAUAUAUACAUAUCGGGCUCCACACAUUCAAAAAGUCGUGACAAGACUCAGCAAACCACAAAUUUCUGCAAAUAUCCAGAAAUAAAGGUUAAACAUGAUUAAAAGUUCCUCAGAAUCGUGUAUAAUAAGUAAUCUUUUUUUUUUUUUUCCAUGACCGGCCGCGUCGCGACGUCGCGAGACGCUCGGCCACCUCUCUGUGUGUUUUUUUUCUUUCUCUAGCGCUUUUAGUUAUCUAAAAUCGCUCCGCGCACCACGCGCCGCCGCAACACGGAGGCCAAUUGUCCCUCCUCCUCCUCUCUAUGGUCUCGUGUCACAAACGCGAAGAGUAGAGAAACGCUCUACCGACGUUUCGCAAGAUAUUUGCUUCGCGCGUUAUACGCACGCAAUAAAACAAAAAGAACAAAAGUUUAGUUCGAGACGCGAGUUUACAAAUUGAAUUUUUCUCUCCAAAGAACAUCAGAUAGAAAUCAAAACUCACGUUUUCCUUUCUUCUUUCGUCUCGUUUUUUCCUCAAAGAUACGAACAACGUUUUUUGCGUUUCCAAAAAUACCGCAAUAUUCAUUUAAGUCGAUUGAAGGAAGAAAGCCGUUUCGUUUCCAAAGUCGACGUUCGAAAAAAAAAAAAAAAAAAACAAUGAAUCGAACUCUUGAAAAUUUCGCGAGACAGAGGAGGAUAUUUCUCGUCAUCGUCCUCCAGACGUGUGUUGUUGCACACAGUGCAGCGGCGCCGGUGCUGGACGGACAUGUUGUACUCUAACAUAAACGUCAGCCCACACCAAAUUGUCCAUGAUGUGACCGAAGGUUGGUCGAACAAGUGGAGACGAACUUAUUCACACAGCUUUCGCACGAGCGAGCGCAACCCCGGAUCAAUCAUCACAACGAGCGUUCACAAUAAUCGGAUAAUGCAUAACUACAAGAACAACGCUCUCUUUCGAGAGAGAACGACAAAGUACACAAAUUACUUAACGAAAAAUAUAAAAAAAGAUACACCGCAAUCAGCAAAAUCUUCCAGAAAAACUAAAACAAAGAUAUAUAUACUCAAAAAGAGAGUGAAUUUUUUCAGAGACGCAAAAUAUCAUCGCACACGCAACAUAUCCGAAAGAAAAAAAAAAAAAAAAAA